CUGGCGGCACGCCUAACACAUGCAAGUCGAACGCAGUAGCAAUACUGAGUGGCAAACGGGUGAGUAUAAUGUGGGAAUCUGCCUUUUGGUCUGGAAUAACACGGGGAAACUUGUGCUAAUACCGGAUAAGCCCUUACGGGGAAAGUUUUAAUGCCGAAAGAUGAGCCUGCACUUGAUUAGCUAGUUGGUAAGGUAAAAGCUUACCAAGGCAACGAUCAAUAGCUGUUCUUAGAGGAAGACCAGCCACAUUGGGACUGAGACACGGCCCAGACUCCUACGGGAGGCAGCAGUGGGGAAUCUUGCACAAUGGGGGAAACCCUGAUGCAGCGAUGCCGCGUGAGUGAAGAAGGCCCUUGGGUUGUAAAACUCUUUCGUCGGGGAAGAAAAUGACUGUACCCGAAUAAGAAGGUCCGGCUAACUU
rnacentral:rRNA from 1 species